ACACUCCUACGGGAGGCAGCAGUGGGGAAUUUUGGACAAUGGGCGAAAGCCUGAUCCAGCAAUGCCGCGUGCAGGAUGAAGGCCUUCGGGUUGUAAACUGCUUUUGUACGGAACGAAAAAGCUCCUUCUAAUACAGGGGGCCCAUGACGGUACCGUAAGAAUAAGCACCGGCUAACUACGUGCCAGCAGCCGCGGUAAUACGUAGGGUGCGAGCGUUAAUCGGAAUUACUGGGCGUAAAGCGUGCGCAGGCGGUUAUGUAAGACAGAUGUGAAAUCCCCGGGCUCAACCUGGGAACUGCAUUUGUGACUGCAUGGCUAGAGUACGGUAGAGGGGGAUGGAAUUCCGCGUGUAGCAGUGAAAUGCGUAGAUAUGCGGAGGAACACCGAUGGCGAAGGCAAUCCCCUGGACCUGUACUGAUGCUCAUGCACGAAAGCGUGGGGAGCAAACAGGAUUAGAUACCCCUGUAGUCCCAU
rnacentral:rRNA from 1 species